rnacentral:rRNA from 1 species
AGGACGAACGCUGGCGGCGUGCUUAACACAUGCAAGUCGAGCGGAAAGGCCCUUCGGGGUACUCGAGCGGCGAACGGGUGAGUAACACGUGAGCAACCUGCCCUUAGCUCUGGGAUAGCUCCGGGAAACCGGAAUUAAUACCGGAUAUGACCUAGGCCGACAUCGGCCGUGGUGGAAAGUUUUUCGGCUAGGGAUGGACUCGCGGCCUAUCAGCUAGUUGGUGGGGUAAUGGCCUACCAAGGCGACGACGGGUAGCCGGCCUGAGAGGGCGACCGGCCACACUGGGACUGAGACACGGCCCAGACUCCUACGGGAGGCAGCAGUGGGAAUAUUGCGCAAUGGGCGAAAGCCUGACGCAGCGACGCCGCGUGAGGGAUGAAGGCCUUCGGGUUGUAAACCUCUUUCAGCUCCGACGAAGCGAAAGUGACGGUAGGGCAGAAGAAGCACCGGCCAACUACGCGCCAGCAGCCGC